rnacentral:rRNA from 1 species
UAGGGAAUAUUGGGCAAUGGACGCAAGUCUGACCCAGCCAUCCCGCGUGAAGGACGAAGGCCCUCUGGGUCGUAAACUUCUUUUGUUGGGGAAGAAAAAUUGGGAUUCAUCCCGACUUGACGGUACCCAACGAAUAAGCACCGGCUAACUCCGUGCCAGCAGCCGCGGUAAUACGGAGGGUGCAAGCGUUAUCCGGAUUCACUGGGUUUAAAGGGUGCGUAGGCGGCUCUGAAAGUCAGUGGUGAAAGCCCGCAGCUUAACUGCGGAACUGCCAUUGAAACUUCUUAGCUGGAGUAUUAUUGAAGUGGGCGGAAUACAUCAUGUAGCGGUGAAAUGCUUAGAUAUGAUGUAGAACUCCGAUUGCGAAGGCAGCUCACUAAAUAGUAACUGACGCUGAGGCACGAAAGCGUGGGUAGCAAACAGGAUUAGAUACCCGUGUAGUCC